GCCCCUGUGGUUUAGAGGAUAUAAUGCGGGCCUGCGGAGCCUGUGACUCGGGUUCGAAUCCCGACAGGGGCA
rfam:Thermoplasmatales archaeon DG-70-1 WOR1_52_54_333, whole genome shotgun sequence.